rnacentral:lncRNA from 1 species
ACAGAAUGGCAGCAGCGGCGGCGCGGGAGGGCACCGGACGCCGGUGGGAGGUGCGCCACGAGAAGUAGGAGUUGGCGGCGGCGCGGGAGGGCAGCGGGCGUCGGAGGGAGGUGCCGCGCGGGCAGGAGGAGUCAGCGUCAGCGGCACAGUAGGAGUUCGGCCUUUUUUUUUACACUCCUAUCCUAUGGAGUUCCGCGGGCAGGAGGAGGAGGCCGGCCGCAGGGGAAGGGAAGAGGAGGAGGCCGCAGGGGAAGGGAGGAGGAGGCCGCGUUGGAGGACGGCUGGGGUGAGGAAAAAAGAAAAAAAAGAACGGUUCGGGCGGGGGCUGAAAGAUUCUCCUGCGGGUGGAAUUUCAGCCUCGACACUUAAUCAUUAAACGCACACGGUUAGUAAGUAAUCUAUGUUUAGUGAGUCUGAUUGUGGGACUAUUAGCAGUGUGUGUUCGUUUAGUGGGGUGGACAUUGGAAAGAACAUGUUGGUGCCUUUAUAAGUAGUAGAGAUUGCUUCAAGUUUUUUGUUAUUUGAAUGUUGAAAUAGGGAUAUACAAAAUCAUUGUGGUUCAUUUGAUCUUGAAAACAAAAUUCUAAGUGGUGAAGAAACAACCUAUGAUACAUAGGAAUUAAUUAGGAUAACAUCCGCGAAAAGUGGACAAAAUUAACAUGUGUCCAUUUAUGUCUUGUCAUAGAAAAUGAAAUACGCAGGAAUUAAUUAGGAUAACAUGAAUUUCGCAUGAUU